rnacentral:misc_RNA from 1 species
GAUGAAGAACGUAGCGAAAUGCGAUAAGUAAUGUGAAUUGCAGAAUUCAGUGAAUCAUCGAAUCUUUGAACGCACAUUGCGCCCGCCAGUAUUCUGGCGGGCAUGCCUGUUCGAGCGUCAUUUCAACCCUCAAGCCCUCGGGUUUGGUGUUGGGGAUCGGCGAGCCUUUCUGGCAAGCCGGCCCCGAAAUCUAGUGGCGGUCUCGCUGCAGCCUCCAUUGCGUAGUAGUAAAACCCUCGCAACUGGAACGCGGCGCGGCCAAGCCGUUAAACCCCCAACUUCUGAAUGUUGACCUCGGAUCAGGUAGGAAUACCCGCUGAACUUAAGCAUAUCAAUAAGCGGAGA